AUAACCUGCCUCAUACAGGGGGAUAACAGUUAGAAAUGACUGCUAAUACCGCAUAAGCGCACAGAGAUGCAUGUCUCGGUGUGAAAAGCUGAGGCGGUAUGAGAUGGAUCCGCGUCUGAUUAGCUGGUUGGCGGGGUAGAGGCCCACCAAGGCGACGAUCAGUAGCCGACCUGAGAGGGUGGCCGGCCACAUUGGGACUGAGACACGGCCCAAACUCCUACGGGAGGCAGCAG
rnacentral:rRNA from 1 species